CACGUAGGGUGCGAGCGUUGUCCGGAAUUAUUGGGCGUAAAGAGCUCGUAGGCGGUGUGUCACGUCGGCCGUGAAAACCUGCAGCUUAACUGUGGGCGUGCGGUCGAUACGUGCAUCACUGGAGUUCGGCAGGGGAGACUGGAAUUCCUGGUGUAGCGGUGAAAUGCGCAGAUAUCAGGAGGAACACCGGUGGCGAAGGCGGGUCUCUGGGCCGAUACUGACGCUGAGGAGCGAAAGCGUGGGGAGCAAACAGG
rnacentral:rRNA from 1 species